CGGGCCAGGAAUAACAUAAUUCAGAAAUAUAUAGGGACUAGUCAUCAACAGUUCAGGAGGAAGAUUAUAAGGAGUGAUAAAUACAGGCCAACAUGAAUAUGACGCACUACCAACUGAAAAAUGAGAGAACCCAUCCGCACAUAAUCCCAAUUGAAUGUUUUGUGGCUCAGCUGCAAAAUUUGGAUAAGUUGCAUCAAAAUGCUUCCAAGCCUCUCCAUCAGAUGGAUGCCACAUAACACCAGCGGGC
rnacentral:lncRNA from 1 species